GUAGGGAAUAUUGCGCAAUGGGGGAAACCCUGACGCAGCGACGCCGCGUGAGUGAUGAAGGCCUUCGGGUCGUAAAGCUCUGUUGCAGGGGAAAAAAAAAUGAAGGUACCCUGUGAGGAAGGAACGGCCAACUUCGGGCCAGCAGCCGCGGUAAGACGAGGGAUCCUAGCGUUGCUCGGAAUCAUUGGGCGUAAAGAGGGCGUAGGUGACUUGGUAAGUCAGGUGUGAAAGCCCAGGGCUCAACCCUGGAAGUGCAUUUGAUACUGCUGAGCUUGAGUGUCGGAGAGGUUACCGGAAUACCUGGUGUAGUGGUGAAAUACGUAGAUAUCAGGUGGAACACCGGAGGCGAAGGCGGGUAACUGGACGAACACUGACACUGAGGCCCGAAAGCGUGGGGAUCAAACAGGAUUAGAAACCCUAGUAGUCC
rnacentral:rRNA from 1 species